rnacentral:lncRNA from 10 species
UUUUUAGUAGAGACGGGGUUUCACCAUGUUAGCCAGGAUGGUCUCGAACUCCUGACCUCGCGAUCCUCCCACCUCAGCCUCCCAAAGUGCUGGGAUUACAGGCAUGAGCCACCACGCCCGGCCGAAAGUUAGUGCUUUUAAAAGGGGGCUUUGCAUGAAUGGCAUACAGGAGAGGAAGUGAGCAGCUAGGGGUCCACAUAACUUGCUUCGGGGCUUUAUCUAGUGGGUAGCUGAGCUGGUGACUACUGGUGCCUUUGUGGGCAGAACUAUAUUGUAAAGGUGGCCAAAACGCUCCAGGUGGGACAGAGUUUUGUAGUGGACGUACUUUGGGAUGUAAAUUAACUGUUUUCUCUUAAGACAACCUCCUGGUUGGAGAGAGCUUCCCAGCAGAGCUUCUUAGGACAAAGUUAGAUGCGCUUGCCCUGUAGGGAGUGUCUGGUGAAGGGAAGGUAAAAGGUUAUAAUUGCAUUUCCAAAGAGCUAAGUAGGAAUCGGGGAAAAGGGGGAAAGAGAAAAAUUUUUUUUUAAUUAUUCAUUUUAUCUCUUAGAAAAAUGGAUGUACUCUGUUACAAUUCCUCACUGCCAAGUUCCAUUCCAUUUCUAUGGGAUUUGGGCACUGUAUUCAUUCUAGCUAAGUACUUACUGCUAAUGGAGACAUAGUCACUGAGCAUCAGAAGGGAACUAAUCUACUUGGGGCUGGAAAUAUUCAUGAGUACCUGGACUUACAGAUAAUAUUUGUUGGAGCAUUAUGAUGCAAGGUCUAGAAAGUUUCUGGGAAAGCCUGCCUUGCAUUCCUUUUCAGAGGGUGCAACGACAGUAAAAUCCACAACGUGGAAGUCUGCUUAUUCUUGCACAAGGACCAAAGUCAUAAGUAGCUUCUGCCACCAAAAUAGUCCUGACCUGAAUCAGGAUGAUCUAGCAACAAUGUCGGAUCAGACAUAACUUUGAUUUGUUGGUUCAUGUCUUGGAGGGUGAUAUGGUUUGGCUCUAUGUCCCAACCCAAAUCUCACGUUGAAUUGUAAUCCUCAAUGUUGGAGGAGGGGCCUGGUGGGAGGUGACUGGAUCAUGAAGGUGGACUUCCCCCCUUGCUGUUCUCGACAGUGAGUUUUCAUGAGAUCUGAUUCUUUGAAAGUGUGUAGAACUUCUCCCUUCUGUCUGUCUCUUUCUCCUGCUGCCCAUGUGAAGAUGUGCCUACUUUGCCCUCGCCUUCUACUAUGACUGUAAGUUUCCUGAGGCUUCCCCAAAAGCAGAAGCCUGUACAGCCCACAGAACCAUGAGAUGAUUAAACCCCUUUUCUUUAUAAAUUACCCAGUCUCAGGUAUGUCUUUAUAGCAGUGUGAGAACUAAUAUACAGGGUUAUCAAGACAUCUCCUGAAUUAUCUGGGAUAUAUAUGCAGAAUUUAGUCUUAAUAAUUAAGCCAAUUGUAAUGGAUAUGAUGACAGGUUGGCUAAAUAUAUAUUUAACAAGUUACAGGAAGAGCUAUGAAUAUUCAUGACAGUGGUCAUAAGCCCUGUCUAGUUCUUGAGAAUAGGUCAGUUUAAUUAGCUGUGUCCCAUCCAGGAGGUGGCAUUGCAGAUGGGCUAGACCUCUGUAUGUGAUGAAGGCAGAUUUUCAAUAAGAGCCAUUUCUACAAAAACAGAAGAAAAACAAAGGUUAACGUUGGGCACACUUUAUCCAGAUGUUGGAUUCAAAGCACCUUUAGUUACAGAGGAGGAAGGUGAUAGCAGUCUGACAUGUUUUUCUUGCCUAUAUUACAAGGAAUAAUAUAGUAGUAAUUUCAUUGAGCCCAGAUUUUAAAAAUGGAAGAAAAAUUUGAAAGCAUUAGCUUUGGGAUCUGUAGCCUGGAAAGAAUUCAUGAUCUAGUCCAAACUGCAGAAAGAAAAAAGAUUUGCCAGAUUCUGAAAAACAAAUGAAUUAGCAAUGUUUUAAACAAGUCUUAAAAAGAUUAUUUCAGUCUUCCAUCAGUUCAGUCUAUGUAAUUAACUUAUGUUCUGCUCAAUAUUCAUGAACACAUUAGCUCUCUAUGGGAAUCUUGAAAGUUUUCCCCUCUAUUAUAAUGUCACAAUCUCCAAAGUUAUCAGAAACCUGCAUUCAAGAUCAUCUGUCAGAGUGCUAGAGCUGAUUAUAACACUGCCUUUGAAAAACAUUAAAGUAAAAUAACAGUUAUGGAAGACAAGUCUCAAAACAGUCACAGUUAAAGUCUGGUCAUCUCUGUGGGACACAAUAAUUUAACAGCAUAGCUCUCUCUUGCUUGCUCCUGCUUUUGCCUUGUGAAGUGCCUUCUUCCACUUCACCUUCUGCCAUGAUUGUAAGCUUCCUCCUCAGAAGCUGAUGCUGGAGCUAUACUUCCUGUAAAGCCUACAGAAUUAUAAGCCAAUUAAAUCUUUUUUCUUUAUAAAUUACCCAGCUUCAGGUAUCAUCUUUACAGCAGUGUAAGGGUGGCCUAAUACAGAAAAUUGGUACUGAGGAGUGGGGCAUUGUUAUAAAGAUACCAAAAAUGGGGAAGCAGCUUUGGAACUGGGUAAAGGGCAGAGGCUGGAAGAGUUUGGAGUGCUCAGAAGACAGAAAGAUGAGGGAAAGUUUGGAACUUCUUAGAGAAUGGUUAAAGGGCUGUGACCAAAAUGCUGAUAGUGAUAUGGACAGUGAAAUCCAGGCUGCUGAGGUCUCAGCUGAAAAUGAGGAACUUAUUGGGAACUGGAGCAAAGGUCAUACAUGUUGUAGCCUUAGCAAAGAGACUGGCUGCAUUCUGUUCAUGGCCUAGGGAUCUGUGGAAGUUUAAACUAAAGAGUGAAGACCUAGGGUAUCUGGCAGAGAAAUUUCUAAGCAGCAAAGCUUUUAAGAUAGGGCCUGGCUGCUUCUAACAGCCUAUGUUCAGAUACAGGAGCAAAGGUAUGAUUUAAAGUUGGAAUUUAUAUUUAAAAGGAAAGCAGAGUAUAAAAGUUUGGAAAAUUUGUAUCCUGGCCAUUUGGCAGAGAAAGAAAAAGGUUUCUGGGGGAGAAUAAUUCAAGCAGGCCAUGAAGCAACCACUUGCUAGAGAAAUUUGCAUAACUAAAAGGGAGCCAAGUGCUGCUAGCCAAGCAAAGGGUAAAAGGCCUUGAAGGCAUGUCAGACACCUUUUUGGCAGCCCCUCCCAUCACAGGCCUGGAAGCCUAGGAGGGAAGAAUGGCUUCUUGUGGGUCAGGCCCAGAGCCCCAUUACCCUGUGCAGCAUUGGGACACUACUCCUUGCAUCCUGGAAGCUCCAGCUCCAGCCUUGGCUUAAAGGGCUUCAGAUACUGUUCAUGCCACUGCUUCAGAGAGCACAAGCCACUGUAAGCCUUGGUGGCUUCCAUGUGUAUUAAGCCUGCAGGUGCACAGUGCAAGAGGGAAUGAGGCCUGGCACCCUCCACCUAGAUUUCAGAGAAUCCAAGAGAAAGCUUGGGUGCCCAGGCAGAAGCCUGCUGCAGGGAGCCCCCACAGAGAACCUCUACUAGGAUGGUGCAGAGGGCAAAUGUGGGGUUGGAGGCCCCAUACAGAGUCCUCACUGGGGCACUGCCUAGUGGAUCUGUGGGAAAGGGGGCCGCCAUCCUCCAGGUCCCAAAAUAGUAGAUCCAUUGGUAGCUUGCACUCUGCAUUUGGAAAAGCUGCAAGCACUCAACAACUUGUGAGAGAAGCAACAGGGCUGAACCCCGCAAAGCCACAAGGGUGGAGUUGCCCAAGGCCUUGGGUGCCCACCCCUUGCACCAGUGUGCCCUGGAUAUAGGACAUGGAGUCAAAGGAGAUUAUUUUGGCACCUUAAGACUCAAUGACUUCCCUGCUGGGUUUUUAACCUGCAUGGGGCCUGGAGCCCCUUUCUAUUGGCUGAUUUCUGCCUUUGGGAAUGGGAAUGUUUACCCAAUGCCUCUACCCCACCUUGUAUCUUGGAACUAAAUAACUUGUUUUGAUUUUACAGGCCCAUAGUGGGAAGGAGAUGAGUCUCAAAUGAGACUCUGGAUUGGACUUGGGACUUCUGAGUUACUGCUAGAAUGAAUUAAGACUUUGAGGGGACUAUUGAGAAGGAACAAUUUUAUUUUGAAAUGUGAAAAGGACAUGAGAUUUGGGAGGGACCAGGGGUGGAAUGAUAUAGUUUGGAUAUUUGUCCCCAUCCAAAUCCCAUGUUGAAUUGUAAUCUCCAGUGUUGGAGGUGGGACAUGGUGGGAGGUGACUGGGUCAAGGGGGCAGAUUUCUCAUGAAUGGUUUAACACCAUCCCCUUGGUGCUGUUGUCAUGAUAGUGAGAUCUGGUCGAUUAAAAGUGUCUGACACCUCCCCCUCCACUCUCUGUCACUUCCUUUUGUUUUUGCCAUAUGAAGUGCCUGCUCCCACUUCACUUUCUGCCAUGAUUGUAAGCUUCUUGAGGCCUCUCCAGAAGCUCAUGCCAGAGCUAUGCUUCCUGUACAGCCUGCAGAACCAUCAGCCAAUUAAACCUCUUUUCUUUAUGUGUUAAAAAGUAAAUAAUUUAACAUAAUCAUAUUACUGAAAACAUAUACUGAGACAUACCAGAAUUAUAGGAAUCUUAUACAAUUUUGGAACACAUGUUAGUAACAUAUUUACAUGAUUACAACACAAAGAAAGUCAAACACCAUUUAUAUUUGACAACUUUUCCUGUAUGGUUUUAAUACACCAAAUAAGACAAAUAUGUCUCUUUUGGACUAUAGGGUACCUAAUAUCUAAAAGAGUUAACCAGAUUUUUUAAAAGGCUUAAUUUAGAAUUUGACUUUAAGAUGCUUGUCAAAUAUCAGAGUUUUAAACAUUUAAUAUUUUAAAAUAGAAUCCCAGGUCCACUGUAAGUCAUUUAUUUAGCCAAAAUGAUAAUUCGAAAAAUUUUUAAAGGCAAAAAUCUUUACUUGUUGAUAAAAGAGAGAUUCAGCCUUCUAAACAAGACCCAAUAAAGACAGCAUGAGACCAACUGAAUCUCUUUUCUUUCCCGUCACUUAUCUAAAAAGCAAAGAAAAAUCUUUCAUUAUCUUUCAAUAUUACACAGAAAUCUUGUUGAAAAAAGAAAGCAAAAUUUCACCUUUGCAUUAGUGUCCUACUAAUGUUAAACCCAAUUCUUGAUAAAACCUCAUUAAUAAAUCUAUCCAAUCUUAAUUUGACCAUAAGGUAAAAUUUCCAUAAAUGUUUUAUAACCCUUUUGCAAUUUUCUUUUAAAGAACAGAUCAAUGCUCUAAGAAAAUCUGUUAUCCAGACAGAUGGGCCAAGAUUCUGGCACUGCAUCAUUGUGCUUUUAAUGUUUAAUUUACAGAAAAACUAAAUAAUCCCCUUCAAAUUUUAGCCAACUGGCUCAUACUCACAGAACUUCUUUUACAAGAUCAAUCUUUCACAAAUAUUUUUAAACUUGUUUAAACCUUCAGUUUUGUCCUAUUACUCUUCUAGGUUAAGACAAUCCUUAAAAACUUCUGAACUAAACAAAAUUACAUUCCCUUUAAUGAAAACCAUGCUUCCAUGCCUUCUUAUAACAUUUUAUCAAAAACACAUUCGACUUUCCUUAUACACCUUGCAUGUAAAACUGUCUCACCAGUAGCCUCAGUUACAUGUUACAAUGUCAACUCUCAGCAACUUUUAUUUUUGGUGAAAAACCUGGUAAGUAAGCAAAUUUAACCAUGCACCAGAUUGUAAAGUCCAGGACAAGGACAGAGCUGCAGGCAGUGUGUGACUCUUCCCAGACUAGGCUGAGGGGCUAACUCUGUAUGUCCCUAGGCUUUAUUUAGAAUCUCUUGGCCAUAAAAGAGACAAGUCAAAUAAUUAAGUCAUGUAAGCAAUUUAUGACCCUAAAGCAUCUAGCAAACAGUAUCUGACCUGCCUAAUUUAGACCAAAUGUCUAAAUUUUGAAGACUUUUUUACUUUAUUGAUAAUCUUCAAACUGUAUUUACCAAAGAUUAAAGUCACAUGAGCAUUAAAUUUGCUAUUUUUCUGACAACAUAUUUGAGUUAAGCUCUUAUUAUUUUUAAGCCCAUUAAUUAAAACAGAAUGGGAGAAAAUUUUUGCAAUCUACUCAUCUGACGAAGGGCUAAUAUCCAGAAUCUACAAUGAACUCAAACAAAUUUACAAGAAAAAAACAACCCCAUCAAAAAGUGGGCAAAGGAUAUAAACAGACACUUCUCAAAAGAAGGCAUUUAUGCAG